rnacentral:rRNA from 1 species
GACGAACGCUGGCGGCGUGCUUAACACAUGCAAGUCGAACGGUGAAGCGCCUUCCUUUUUGGUGGGUGUGGAUGAGUGGCGAACGGGUGAGUAACACGUGAGUAACCUGCCCCCUUCUUCUGGAUAACCGCAUGAAAGUGUGGCUAAUACGGGAUAUUCUGGGUCUGUCGCAUGAUGGGUCUGGGAAAGAUAUUGUUUCGGUGGGGGAUGGGCUCGCGGCCUAUCAGCUUGUUGGUGGGGUGGUGGCCUACCAAGGCGGUGACGGGUAGCCGGCCUGAGAGGGUGGACGGUCACACUGGGACUGAGACACGGCCCAGACUCCUACGGGAGGCAGCAGUGGGGAAUAUUGCACAAUGGGCGCAAGCCUGAUGCAGCGACGUCGCGUGAGGGAUGGAGGCCUUCGGGUUGUGAACCUCUUUCGCCAGUGAAGCAGGCCUGCCUCGUUUGUGGGUGGGUUGACGGUAGCUGGAUAAGAAGCGCCGGCUAACUACGUG